CGGGGGCUAAUACCGAAUAUUAACUGCCGGGCGCAUGUUUGGUGGUUAAAAGUUUUUCGGCUAGGGAUGGGCUCGCGGCCUAUCAGCUUGUUGGUGGGGUAAUGGCCUACCAAGGCGACGACGGGUAGCCGGCCUGAGAGGGCGACCGGCCACACUGGGACUGAGACACGGCCCAGACUCCUACGGGAGGCAGCAGUGGGAAUAUUGCACAAUGGGCGGAAGCCUGAUGCAGCGACGCCGCGUGAGGGAUGACGGCCUUCGGGUUGUAAACCUCUUUCAGCAGGGACGAAGCGAAAGUGACGGUACCUGCAGAAGAAGCGCCGGCCAACUACGUGCCAGCAGCCGCGGUAAGACGUAGGGCGCAAGCGUUGUCCGGAAUUAUUGGGCGUAAAGAGCUCGUAGGCGGCUUGUCGCGUCGACUGUGAAAACCCGUGGCUCAACCAUGUGGUCUGCAGUCGAUACGGGCAGGCUAGAAUUCGGUAGGGGAGACUGGAAUUCCUGGUGUAGCGGUGAAAUGCGCAGAUAUCAGGAGGAACACCGGUGGCGAAGGCGGGUCUCUGGGCCGAUAUUGACGCUGAGGAGCGAAAGCGUGGGGAGCGAACAGGAUUAGAUACCCUGGUAGUCCACGCUGUAAACGUUGGGCGCUAGGUGUGGGGGGCCUCUCCGGUCCUCUGUGCCGCAGCUAACGCAUUAAGCGCCCCGCCUGGGGAGUACGGCCGCAAGGCUAAAACUCAAAGGAGUUGACGGGGGCCCGCACAAGCGGCGGAGCAUGCGGAUUAAUUCGAUGCUACGCGAAGAACCUUACCUGGGUUUGACAUGGGCGCUAAAACCACAGAGAUGUGGUGUCCUUCGGGGGCGUUCACAGGUGGUGCAUGGCUGUCGUCAGCUCGUGUCGUGAGAUGUUGGGUUAAGUCCCGCAACGAGCCAACCCUUAUUCCAUGUUGCCAGCGGGUUAUGCCGGGGACUCAUGGGAGACUGCCGGGGUCAACUCGGAGGAAGGUGGGGAUGACGUCAAGUCAUCAUGCCCCUUAUGUCCAGGGCUUCACGCAUGCUACAAUGGCCGGUACAAAGGGCUGCGAUACCGCAAGGUGGAGCGAAUCCCAAAAAGCCGGUCUCAGUUCGGAUCGGGGUCUGCAACUCGACCCCGUGAAGUCGGAGUCGCUAGUAAUCGCAGAUCAGCAACGCUGCGGUGAAUACGUUCCCGGGCCUUGUACACACCGCCCGUCACGUCACGAAAGUCGGCAACACCCGAAGCCGGUGGCCUAACCCGUAAGGGAGGGAGCCGUCGAAGGCGGGGCUGGCGAUUGGGACGAAGUCGAAACAAGGUA
rnacentral:rRNA from 1 species